rnacentral:rRNA from 1 species
UACGGAGGAUGCAAGCGUUAUCCGGAAUGAUUGGGCGUAAAGCGUCCGCAGGUGGCUGUGUAAGUCUGCUGUCAAAGAGCGAAGCUCAACUUCGUAAAGGCAGUGGAAACUACACGGCUAGAGUGCGUUCGGGGCAGAGGGAAUUCCUGGUGUAGCGGUGAAAUGCGUAGAUAUCAGGAAGAACACCGGUGGCGAAGGCGCUCUGCUAGGCCGCAACUGACACUGAGGGACGAAAGCUAGGGGAGCGAAUGGG